rnacentral:rRNA from 1 species
GACGAACGCUGGCGGCGUGCCUAAUACAUGCAAGUCGAGCGGACAGAUGGGAGCUUGCUCCCUGAUGUUAGCGGCGGACGGGUGAGUAACACGUGGGUAACCUGCCUGUAAGACUGGGAUAACUCCGGGAAACCGGGGCUAAUACCGGAUGGUUGUUUGAACCGCAUGGUUCAGACAUAAAAGGUGGCUUCGGCUACCACUUACAGAUGGACCCGCGGCGCAUUAGCUAGUUGGUGAGGUAACGGCUCACCAAGGCAACGAUGCGUAGCCGACCUGAGAGGGUGAUCGGCCACACUGGGACUGAGACACGGCCCAGACUCCUACGGGAGGCAGCAGUAGGGAAUCUUCCGCAAUGGACGAAAGUCUGACGGAGCAACGCCGCGUGAGUGAUGAAGGUUUUCGGAUCGUAAAGCUCUGUUGUUAGGGAAGAACAAGUGCCGUUCAAAUAGGGCGGCACCUUGACGGUACCUAACCAGAAAGCCACGGCUAACUACGUGCCAGCAGCCGCGGUAAUACGUAGGUGGCAAGCGUUGUCCGGAAUUAUUGGGCGUAAAGGGCUCGCAGGCGGUUUCUUAAGUCUGAUGUGAAAGCCCCCGGCUCAACCGGGGAGGGUCAUUGGAAACUGGGGAACUUGAGUGCAGAAGAGGAGAGUGGAAUUCCACGUGUAGCGGUGAAAUGCGUAGAGAUGUGGAGGAACACCAGUGGCGAAGGCGACUCUCUGGUCUGUAACUGACGCUGAGGAGCGAAAGCGUGGGGAGCGAACAGGAUUAGAUACCCUGGUAGUCCACGCCGUAAACGAUGAGUGCUAAGUGUUAGGGGGUUUCCGCCCCUUAGUGCUGCAGCUAACGCAUUAAGCACUCCGCCUGGAGUUCGU